ACUCCAGACUCCUACGGGAGGCAGCAGGGGGGAAUAUUGCACAAUGGGCGCAAGCCUGAUGCAGCCAUGCCGCGUGUAUGAAGAAGGCCUUCGGGUUGUAAAGUACUUUCAGCGGGGAGGAAGGCGAUAAGGUUAAUAACCUUGUUGAUUGACGUUACCCGCAGAAGAAGCACCGGCUAACUCCGUGCCAGCAGCCGCGGUAAUACGGAGGGUGCAAGCGUUAAUCGGAAUUACUGGGCGUAAAGCGCACGCUGGCGGUCUGUGCAGUCGGAUGUGAAAUCCCCGGGCUCAACCUGGGAACUGCAUUCGAAACUGGCAGGCUGGAGUCUUGUAGAGGGGGGUAGAAUUCCAGGUGUAGCGGUGAAAUGCGUAGAGAUCUGGAGGAAUCCCGGUGGCGAAGGCGGCCCCCUGGACAAAGACUGACGCUCAGGUGCGAAAGCGUGGGGAGCAAACAGGAUUAGAUCCCCCGGUAAC
rnacentral:rRNA from 1 species